CCACUGUACCAAGCUGUAAACUGCUCUGUAAAACUGUGCUUCCUUUGCCUUGCAACCAGUUUGCUAAUUUUUGUCUCAUUCAUAUUUCUAACCAAUAAUUUUGUUUUCCAGUGAGGAGGGUGAUGGUCUGUUUUCUCAGGUGACAAGUGAUAGGAUGUAAGAAAGUGGCCUCAAGUUGCACCAGGGAGGUUUAAAUUGGAUAUCAGGAAAAAAUUCUUCACAGAAGGGGUGGUUUUUGCAUUGGAACAGGCUGUCCAGGGGAGUGGUGGAGUCCCCAUCCCUGGAGGUAUUUAAGGGAUGUGGCACUGAGAGACAUGGUCAUGCUUUAGUGGUGGGCUUGGUAGUGUUAGGUGGUAGUUGGACUUGAUGGACUUGAAGGUCACAGAAACAAAACUUGUUGACUAAUAGAUCUGAAAACACAUUUUGAAGUUCUGAUAAUACAAAAAUGAGAGAUUUAAAAGCUUCUUAUAGCAUUCUCUGUGGUUCACUGUGGUUCACUGUGGUUCACUGUGGUUCAACUCUAACUCUGUCUUGGAGUGCUUUAUAUUAGUAUAUUUUGCAUAGAAGAUAACCCAGAGAUUCCUUUGAUUUCAUUUUGGGAAAGCCAUCAUUAGAAUGUGUUGGGAGAUGUUAAAAAAAAAAGAUGCAAAAAGGUAAAAAAAUCAAAUCAAAUUCUCUAAUUCAUGCCCUCAGUAUAGGAAUGCAAAACCAGGUUUUAUAGCUGCCUUCCUUCAGAGGGGCAGGCUUAUGAGGGCUGGGACGGAUGGUAUGGGGGAAUGAAUGCUGGGUGAGAAUGGUUGUAGCAUGCCCUAUAUUUAUCUUUGAAUUUCACCACUUACUGUUCCAAAAAAAAAAAACAAUGGAAAUUGAAAAACAGUAACGAAAUAGAAGGAGUAUAAGCUAACAUACUCGUUUUGUCUUUCAAAACUGCAGCUCUGUAUUAUUAUGAUAUGAAACAGAGGAUAUGUGUGAGUGAAUUUUUAAAAUGAGUGAGAAAUGCUAGGCAAGACCUGGUGAGGCUCAAAAAUUUCUCUAAUUUUAUCCUUUUUGAAGCACUGUUCCCCAAAAUGAAAGGUUUAUUGCUUUGAACUUUAAAAUAAUAACUUGUGUAGUUUUAAUAGAAAAAGGACUGCUUGCUAAUUUGUGAUCACAUGCAGCUUUAAACAUUGGAUAGUUUGACAAAACACUUUAAUGUUUGCACCUGUAAUUUAGAGUUUGAAUAAAAUUCUUCAUGCCAUUUAGUAAUGAGGAUGCUUCCUUGACAUGUGAAAUUGCACACUUGCAAAGCUAGUGUCCCAUUUUCAUGGUAGCAAAUGGUAUAAUUAGGAUCAAAAAAUGUUUUUAGUUACAGCCUCCUUAUUUUUACAUGCUCAUUGCUUUCCAAGUUAACUCCUUUGGUAAACCUUUUACUGUAGCCUGAAAUGACUUACAAUUUUAAAAAAGAACGUCUUCCCCCCAGCCUUCUUGAAAGAAAUAUGUCAUUCCAUAUUCUCCCUUUCUAAUCUCAUUAUGUUAAAAUGCAUCUUCACUUGCUGUUGUUGUUUAUACAUGUCUUUUAAGGGGACUUAUUAAAAUGGCCUACUUUGUAAAAAACACAAGUUGAAAAUCUUGACUGAAUAGUUUUGUGGGUUUGGUGAUGUGUCCUUUAAUUUAUUGUUAAGAUUUUACGAGAUGUAAAGCUGCAGUGCAGAAGUGAAAGGAUUAGAGUAAGGACCAAAUGGCAAUAAAAGGGAUGUAGUCAAUCAGAAGAAAGCUUCCAUGUUGCUUAGGUUUGGAAGUGUACACUGUGUUUAUUGUAUGUUUGGGAAGAAAAAAAAAAAAAAAAAGCAAAGAUAAAAGGCCCUACAUUAAAUGGAAUUUUAAUGGAACUUUAUUUUUUUAUUUGCUUUUAAAGUUUCUUUAAGCAGUGUUCACAAAGCUGUCUUGUAUGUUUUCUCUGUGCUCCUACGUACUGUAAUAGGUUGGUGAUGUGUGGUUGUAGAGACGUGUGCUUCAAAGAAGAAAAUAGAUUUUCAUUUUGUGUCUUCUCACAUUCUUCUCCAUGACGGUCCAAAUGAUGCAAAGAGCACUGAAACAAUUAUCUGGGUUGCCUCCAACUUAACUGUAUGUCCUCUUGUGGAAAUGGACACUGGAGUAUGGGUGUGCCUUUGUCCCCUGCAUUUUCCCACUCUUGGACAGAUGGAGAGAAGCCUGUGAGUGCUUGUUCUUUUGACAGAAAGCUUUUUGGAGCCCUUUGGCUUGAAUUCAUUGAAAGGUUUCUGGCAGGUGCUGCAAUGGGUGCCCACAUCACUACCGGCCCUGUAUGGGGUCAUGGCUUGGCAGCAGCAGUGGUGGGUUCCCACCGCCGAGGCUGGGUCCCUCCAGCCACAACUGGCGUUCCCAAAGAAUUAGAAGUGAUAGCUCUUGUUAGGAAAUGAUUAAUUAGCGAAAAGAAUAAAUUGGCUGCAAGGUCCCAGUGUCUGUUUAUAUUUUCAAGGAUGUCUGUGCAAUAAAAUUGGGCUACUGCUCCUAGGUGGUUAGGAUGUUGACAAAGCGUAAUUGAUAGCAAGGGGAUUCAGAGACCACCUGUGCUCUGGGAUAUUGCCAGUUAGGAGGAAAGAGAGAAGAGAAAUGCUUUCUCAUGAGGAUGUGUGUUAUGUGUAGGAAUGUUGUAGAAUAUCGAGGUUGAAUGAAAUACCUAUCCCAGAUGCUUUACCUGCAUAAAUUCAAUUCUGUUGCUCCCUUCUGAUGACUGUUUUAUAAAUAAGUUCUGGAGAAGUGGAGAAAGAUUUGACUCUACCUGUAAAAUAUUUUUAAAAGUAGUGAAGUAAAAGUUUUUAUAAUAUUCCUAUGCCUUGUCAUAUAUAUAUGCAACCAAGCUAUCUUUGUUAGCUUCAAAGUGAAUUUAGUGCCUACCUGCCAGUAGGAAGUGGUAGAAGAAAUACGUGUGCACCCUUGACAAACACCAUGCUUGGGGGUUGAGGGAAGGUUAAUGGUUCCUGCUGAUGGUCAUGAGAUAGGAUGAUGUUGAAUACCAGCAUUGUUACUUAAAAAUAAAGCAAGUCCUUUUGCAAAAUGGAGUAGAUACUUUCUUUCCUUUUCCACUAGUGUUCUGUGUCUCCUAGGACACUGAAAAUAAUAAAAUGCCUGCUUUGUUUCUGGGUCCUGCAUAAAGCUCUGCUUUAAACAUAGGAUAGUUUUGUCUGUUUUAAGGAUAAAUACCUUUGUGGACAGAAUGUGAUUACUAUGCGUAAAGCAACCUAUCAUUUCAUAUUGCUCUAAAUGUGGUGGAUAGACCACCACUGCAAGUUGUAUUCAUGUUUCUACUUUUCCUACAUCUUCCACUUCUCGUUUAUUCUAAACUGUUUUAGCUCUAGGGAACAUCUGUCACAAGCCCAAAUGUUUAUAUUCACACAAAUUGGCAGUUGUGUCAGCUCCUUAAAGUGAUGUUCUUCAGGAUCUCUGUAAGCAGAUGUGCUGUGACAGGAAAACUUUCUUUAAUAAUUGAGUUACGCAUGAUUAAAGUUAUCUGGAAUCAUUUUGAGUUACUGAAGCAACAUGUAAGAUUGUGGUGCUUCUUGCAAAAAUACCAUUCCUUGGAUUUUGCAUUACAAAUAUAUGCUAAUGUCUGGAAACUUGAGCAAAGUCCCCUGCAAACUACAACAAAGAAAGUCUUCGUGAUGCUCACAUGGGGGAGUCAUGCUUGAGAUUAAUAAUUUAUAAUUAAAUCUAAUUUAUUUAUUAAUUGUGAGAAGAACAGUUUUUGCACAGAUUUCUCUCAUUGGCUUUCUUCAUUCUGACUAGCACUUUCAGAGGUUUGAUAAGAAAAAAAAUAGUUUCAUCUAUUCACAUGGAAAACACCCCUGUAGUCGAGCAACCUGCCCCCAAAAGGAGCUGUUGCGUGAUGAAAGUAAUGUUUUGUAUUUCAGUUGCAAAUAGCUCAGUAUCUUCCCCACUCUGUACUGUCAAAUAUAGACAGGACAUAAUUCCAUUUAAACCUAAUUGAGUUCAAUAUUGCAUAGAAGAGUGUUGGACUCUGAAGAGAGAUUUCACAACAGCAUUCUGCUUUACGUUGUUGGAGAGCUGUUUUUCCUGUAGAAGGUGGGGGGGGAAGAAAGAGAGAGACGACUGGUCUUUAAUGUUUAUCACAAGCCCACUAGUUCUAGUAUUAAGUAUUAUUAGGUCGAGCACAUCCUUCAUCUUUUGAAAACACCACAGAGUGUUGUAGGUUACAGCUCUAAAUUCAGCGUUAUUCAAGGAUUAUAACUGUCUUUAUUUUUCAGUGACUUUUUCUCUUCUACAGCUCUCCUCUGUAUACAGUUUCCUUCAUUUCUGGUCUAUUUUCUUACAUUGUUUUCAGUACUUUCUUGUCACCUGCUUUACCAUUUAUCCCCUCUCUCAUAUCUUCCUAAGCCUCCUUUUUCUCUCAUUACAAGCUGUCUACUCCCUCUCUUUUCUGUUUCCAUAGCCCAUUUCUCCCUCUCAGAUUUUCUUCUCUGCCUCUUCUUUCAACUUCUCUCAAAUAUAUAUAUAUAUAUUUAAUUGGUCUUCUCUCAUGCCCCAUCCACUCCUCACACUCAUAGAUAAAGGCAGAAGAGUCUGGUAAUCUAUGUCAAAGAUAGUCAAAGAUAUGUCAAAGAUCAUGCAAAGGCAACCCAGCUAGCCAGCAGCUGACAAAGAAGGUGAAGUUCGGAUUUACAUUAGAGAAUUUUCUAUAUAUUUCUCCCAUUUGCCCAAAUGGCUAAAAGUCACUAGCCAGUAGGUUCUUCAGCUAUUGGCUGCUGGAAGUAGUGAGUAGCUUUUCUCUUCAUUCACCUUAUGUCUAAACAUCCUGACUUUGGGGAACUUUCUCUUUUAAAUAAUACUAACAAAUCCCAACAGAUGCCUUCCAUAUUUAACAUCUUGCAUAUUGUCUUUUAAUUUUGUUUUGCCUUUGUAUUAUUAUUCUUAAAAGUCACGUGUUAGCUUUCAUGAAUUAUUAUUGUCAGUUGUGUUACUGUGCUGUUUGAAAUGCAAAUACAGAAAAGGAGCAGAACUGAUUGUUUCCAAAUGUUCAGCUAGCAACCCCCCACAAGCUGUUCUCUGGUUUUAGUACCUGUGACAUACUCUUCACUGCAACAUUUUGCUUUAUAUUUUGGGCAGAUAAAUGUUGUCAAUUUUAUGUUUUUAAGAAAGCGUUUGGUAUUUCCACUGUGUUGAUUCAUGAAGACCAUCACAGGAUUAAUCGGGACUGGGUUUCAGAAACACUCACUGAAGUAUCCUGUGUAGCUACUUGUUUAGAGUUAUCAAAUGAUCUUCCUUUGCUGUUUAUAACAUAACCGAGUAUUUUACAGAGGAUUAAGCAAAAUAAUGUAAGAUAGAAUAGUCAGGAAA